rnacentral:ncRNA from 1 species
AGCUUUCUUAGUCCGCCUUCCAUCUCCGGGAGUUUAUUCGGUGGCGCGAUCCGGGCUGAGGACAUUGCCGGAUGGGGAGUUUGACUGGUGCGGUACAUCUGUCAAACGAUAACGCAGGUGUCCUAAGGCUGGCUCAUGGAGGACAGAAACCUCCCGUAGAGCAAAAGGGCAAAUGCCGGCUUGAUCCCGAUUUUCAGUACGAAUACGGACCGCGAAAGCGCGGCCUAUCGAUCCUUUUGGCCAUUCUGAGUUUGAAG